rnacentral:rRNA from 1 species
UACAUGGGGUGCAAACGUUGCUCGGAAUUAUUGGGCGUAAAGCGCGCGUAGGCGGUUACUCAAGUCGGAUGUGAAAGCCCUCGGCUUAACUGAGGAAGUGCACCCGAAACUGAGUAGCUAGAGUACGAAAGAGGGUCGCGGAAUUCCCGGUGUAGAGGUGAAAUUCGUAGAUAUCGGGAGGAACACCGGUGGCGAAGGCGGCGACCUGGGUCGAGACUGACGCUGAGGCGCGAAAGCGUGGGGAGCAAACAGG